rnacentral:rRNA from 1 species
UACCAGCACCCCGAGUGGUCGGGACGAUUAUUGGGCCUAAAGCAUCCGUAGCCGGUCAUGCAAGUCUUCCGUUAAAUCCAGCCGCUCAACAGUUGGGCUGCGGAGGAUACUACGUGGCUAGGAGGCGGGAGAGGCAAGCGGUACUCAGUGGGUAGGGGUAAAAUCCUUUGAUCCAUUGAAGACCACCAGUGGCGAAGGCGGCUUGCCAGAACGCGCUCGACGGUGAGGGAUGAAAGCUGGGGGAGCAAACCGG